GGGUGACUCAGGUGCACAUUAAGUUUUGAUUAACACUCGCUUAGACCAUCUGUAUAAACUUUAGUUUAUACAAGCAAAAGACAGGGAACUCUGUGAUGAAGAAAUCUCUAAGGACUCUGAGAAGAAUGGUCCUGUACUCAAGUUUGAGUUUUAAACUAGGAAAAUGACUAAUAAUUGAAAAUAAUGGGAACUCUGUGGAAUUUUCUUGGCAAUAAGACAGCUGUGUAUCAUCUAUGACUGCUGUGAGCAUGGGGAGUGUUCCAGGCUAAGUGGGCCUUGGAAGGAGCUGAGAGCAUUGCUCUACUGGGACUUCAAUUCUGAACCUGAGGGAGUCAUGAUGACCUCCCCAGAGUUUUUUCUGCUUUGCUAGGUUUGCCCAUUUCCCAAAUUUCUAGAUUGCUAUCCCUAUACUAAAAGAUUACAUUGUCAGAGUUGAGACCAUGUUGAGCUUUUCUUUGCAUGCUCCACCACACC